rnacentral:lncRNA from 1 species
CCGGACGGGAGGGGGGGGGGCGCGCGGCGCUGGCUGCCGCGAACAGGCCUCCGCCACGGCCGAAGGCUUUAGCGGUGGGCUGGGAGGCGAUGGAGGCCGAAAUUUUUUCUCCUUCGAUAAGAAAAUGAGUCACGACAACGUCGGCGGCCCCAAGUGUGGCGACAUCCGGUUUGGUACGGGUCCUUACCCGAUAUUUAUAGUUUCUUUCAAUCGCAACAAUCAUCACUCUGAAGUUCUCUCGUCCGCUCCGUUCCUCUCAUUUAGGAAGGCCACUUUCCUUGUUCCUGGUUCUCGCGUUCAUUUCCCCGUGCAUUGCCCGCGACCUAAAAUGCCACGACCUUCCGGUCGAACAUGAACUGUCUCAGAAGCUCUUUCCAUCCUCUUCCUGCCUCGAAAAACUUUUCUGUUCUGGAUGAUUGUGUAAUUGCAUCCAUACGACAUGUUCUGUCUCAAAUCGAAAACUACUUCAUUUCAUAGCACAUGUUUUGUCUUACUAAUAGAAGUAGACGUCUCUGGAUACAGUGCGUGGGAUACAGCUUAUCGAUCUGAUUGUCACAUUUCAUUUAACUAAAUAUUCAGUCAUAUUCUAAAAGUGGACUUAAUCAAUCGCGGAAUGCCGAAAGGGAUUCCUGAUGAAUAUUCCCAGCUGCCAGCGGCAAGGAUCACUCUUCGCUUGGCUAUUUCUUUGACCGCUGAAGAUGCUGCUCCCUGCUUGUUGAGGUCGAUUAUUAUGCCGCCAGUUUUCGCAUUUCGUGUGUCACCUUUGCCGCAUUGUUCGAAAUUCCGAUCGUGGGUCCAUCAUGUAUUUACUAGGUAAUUACGGUUCCGGGCUCGAGCAUACCGCCCUACCUUGCCCAGGCUUAGUCAUGUAGCUUCCUUGAACACAUUUGGUUGUUACAGUUACAAGCUUGGUAAAUUCACUGCUGGUGUCCUUCGUUACACGUCAUUCGCUGUUUGCUCUGACGUGCUCCAUUUGGACCCUACAUGCACACUCGUUUCAGUGGUCUCUGUCGAAGCCAUUCAGUGCCGAUGACACGCGCGUGAGAAUGUUUAACAGCGGAUUCAAGCUUUGUUCGAUUUACCUUGGUCUUUCUCUGCCUUCACGUUUAAAGCGUGUGAGAAUUUGGAUUUUUCAUUGCUUUUGGGGGCCCCUUUUACCUCGCAUCGGUUAAUCACUCAUGACGGUGUCUACACCGGCAUUUGCUUUUGAUCUCGGCUCAUUUCGUGCGACGAUCAAUUCGGUUCUUUAAAAUCACUUUUGUUGAGGUUUAAAUCGAUUGCCUUGCUCCUCCCUGUCAAUUUCCAUCAGUAUGUUAAUUGGGUAUGUUGAAAUCAAGCUUAGCAGCCGCCGCGACGUUGUUUUCAGGGCGCUAAAGCGCGGCUGUUGUGUGUAUUUCAGUAUAUCAGGGCAUCACAUAAAUCGAGUCGACCCUUUCUGUAGUAGAGCUCACGGUGCAGUUUAGUUGACUUAUGAUGUUCAUUCGGGUGACAGAUGCAGGGCGAAAGCUGGAUCUCUGGAACGGAGUUUUUGUGUCUACGGCUAAUCCACGCCAUUGAAGAUCAGCCCGUUGAAGCGUCGAGUUGAUUAGUUCCCGCAAUCAAUCGACCCGGUGGUCGCCAUCUCUUCUCAUUGGUAAUACACCCCUGCCCUCGUCGCGUCAUGCCGCCCAAGUUUUUUGGCGUUCACUUCUCUCCGAGUAUGUCACGCCCAAGUCUUCAUCUUUCACUUUUUUUCUUCGAUUAUGUCGCUGUGCCCGACGCGUUUUCUCACGUAUAUAUAUGCCUCACGCGGCGGCUCCUCUUUUCUUCGUUUUUCUUAGGUCCAAUCUCGGUUUUGCACUGACCUGCCCCGCAUCCGUAGCCAGGCUUAGUCAUGUAGCCGCCAGAAACCCCAGUGGCGCUGAUGCAGUUACAAGCCUGGAAGAUCACUGCUUUGGCGCUUCGUUACAGGUCUCUCGCGUCCUGCGUUGACUUGCUCCAUUUGGGCCCCACAUUCACGGACUCUUCCCGCUCUCCCUCCCUUCCGUAUUCACCAAGGUUUCUCACCUUGGAUCGUUUUUCUUGGAGUCGUGUUGCACCGCCUGUUAUCCGUCCCUUGAACUGAUAAUGCCGGCGGCCAGGUCUCGCCCUGGUGCGGGUUUAGGCCGCGUUGUGCCCUCAUCUUGCACGCCUUUCGCGAGAGUCGAGCCGGUGGCUUUCUCCUUUCGAGAUUUUACUCUCCUCGGGAGGGACCCAGUCUCCUUCUCGUCUUCCCUGUCGCUUUUCUCGCCCGCCGAGGCUUCGCCGUGGGCCGGGCUGGUUUAGCAGCGUCUUGCUCCGCGCUGGCGAUGGCAAGGCGCCUCCUGAGACCAGCGACAGGGACCCCGCCGGAUCGUCCACGACCGAGUGUGCCCCUGCUGCUCCGGAUCACACUUAUGUCAAGGUCCGACACAGCUCCCUCUCUCCUGUGGCGGCCCCUUCAUUGACUUCCUGGGCCCGCUCUGCUGUCUGCCUCAUUCUUUCCGGGUUCAUCUGCGGUCUGAAGCUCUUUCUUUUCUGCCGAAACCGGGUCGUAAUUCUAUGCACGGUGGAUCUUAUCUUCGGUGUGAGGUGUCAUGGUCAGCGAUUCCCCGUCUUCUAUUCUUUCAUGUGAUUCGCGUUUCGCCUUCCCCCGUGUCUCCCAGGAUCGCCGGGCGCUGGCUUCUGGUACGAGCCCAUUACCAGUGGGCGAAGGCUUGGCGGCUUGUGGGCCGGCAGCCGCCCGUCGAGGCCCCCUCGUUGACUGGAGGACAGUGAGGGUGCGGAGGUCGAGGCGGCUGCGUGGCGUGUGGCCGAAGGGUGGAUUGCUGGCAUCCACCAGCCGCCGGCCCCCGACACUGCAGAUGUCGGUGGUAGAAUCCCAGUGCGGGAGACCCAACGAGGCGCCUUCUCACUUCACGGGCCUGGCGGCCGAGAGAGAGGGAGAGAGAGAGAGAGAGAUUGCAAGUGUAACUAGCCGGUCUGGACAACCGUCCGGAGCGGAUGGGGAGAAGUCUACAUCGUCGGGUAGAAGUCGAGCGCUGUGUUACGCGCGUGCAGGUUCCAUCUUCUAAGAAGAAACCGAUCUAUCUCGGCUGCAUUUAAUGCCGCAAUGCAUAUCGCUUACGCACCGGGAAAUGAGGCAUCUUUUUAAGGGACUCGACUCCGGGCAGUCGCGCCGAGCGGCCCGAGGAUGCGCGAUGGCCACCCGUUGACCGCCGCUUCCGUCCCCCGCGCGCGACGCCGUCUCGGCCGCAACGGUCCUACCCGGUCUCCGAUGAGAGGCCGGUGGGGAUGGAUGUUAUUGGACGGAGGGGAAAACAGGGGGAUCACGGCGGCGAUUUAGUCCCCCCGUCCGGUCGCCUCGCUGAAGUUUAUCCGGCAUAUAUUCGACCGCUACCGCCACGUGUCGACUUCGA